UCACCUUUCCCUAUGGAAGUUAGUACACUUUGGAGCGCAUGAAUAACUACGACGGUAUCCUGAUGACUUAGUUCUCUGGCCGUACCCCAAUAUCCGUGUCUUUCUACGCGCAAACCAUGCCGUAAUGCUCGAUCUAACCAAUAAACGAGCCAGGAAUCUCCAUCCAAGACCACGGUACCAUAGAGACUCUGAGCAUAAACCUAGAUUAUGAUAAAGCAGACGUAAUAAUAAUCGGUUAAUAAAAUAAAAGCACUCCUUACGACGGUAUGAAACAUAAAAAUCUUUUAAAACCGACCCAACGGUUGUUUACAAUAAUAGCCCCACGUCUUUUGCAACAUAUGUAAAACAUAUUAAAAAUAACUGAUGCACGACGUGCCUUUCUUAAUUUACUCGUGACACAUACGUUGCUAAAUUUCGAUCGAUCUUCUCGCCCUUUUCUUUCGCAAGGGGGGGAGAGAGAGAGAGAGAGAGAGAGAGAGAGAGAGAGAGAGAAAAGAAAGAAAGAAAGCAAAGAAAAAAUUAUAAAAACCUUUUCGCGGGAAUCAUUUCAGCCUUGUGACGUCGAUUAAAUGGAACAAAGAAGACGUCAAUUCUAUCAACUAAAUGAGACCUCGAAAUCCUCGAUAAUGUUCGAAUGAUCUUCGAUCGAUCAAAGAGAAAGAUAAUGAGACGAUUAACACGGUCUCGAAUGUGAUUGGAAGAAUAUAAAAGAGGAAUAUUUAACGACAGGCGACUCGUGCAGCAACAGCAGCAGCAGCAGCAGCAGCAGCAGCUCGUGCUUACUGACGACCGCGUGCACGUCUGCGAUGUCACCAGUGGCACUACCGUCAUCUUUGAGGUUUCUUGCGACGUUUCGACAUCCGAACGAAAUCGAAUGAGAAAAAUUAAAUGACGAUGAGAAAGGUGAAUACGAAAACUUAUGUUAUUCUCGAUAUCACCGAAUCGAACGACGAAGAAUCAAUUUCGACUCUCCUCUGACGUCAUCCUCUCAAUUUUCCUUAUCAGACUUUCGCGCGGCGAUCCAUAAACUGCAUUUCCUGUGUGACUGUGCGCGCGUGAAAGUCAGGCCUAUCGUAACGCGAAACAGCGUUAAGCACGAUUGUCGAUUUUUCAGAAGAGUCGAACGCAGAUUUAUCUCUUUGUAGAUACUUUUGCGUGUGUGCAUGCGCCCACCUAUUCUAGCAUAUGUGCCAUGGUAUAUAUAUAUAUAUAUAUAUAUAUAUAUAUAUAAAUGGCCUUGGAUAUUGAUACGACACGUCUCUACGUAAAAAGAGAAGGGAAAGAGGGUUUAGUAGUAAAAGACCUAUAACGAAAUGCGCGCACGCACACACACACACACACGCACACACAGAGGAGACGGACACGCACUCACCAAUUUGACGGCUUUCGUCAAUUCUUGAAGAAUUCUACUCUUAGAAAGGACCUUGUCGGUGCAAAGGUCCAUGUCUUCCUGACUCGGCAUUUCGUAAUGCGAUGAUGUUACAUCUUUCUUGUUGAGAUAAUAGAGAAAUUUGGACGACAAAAAUGAGAAUUUUCCAAGGGAAACGCCAAGCACGUCUCCGAUCCGACUCGACGGGGUUACGCUGGCACACUCGUCGCCGGGUGGACUCAUUGAUUUUUUAGAGGCGCGCAAGUCGGGCGGCAAAUUUGAAUGGACUGCGCCGAUCGACUGGCGUUGAUCGUCUCCACCAGCCGUCUUUAAAACCAUAUAUCUUUUUUAUUUCUUUUCCUUUUCUCUCAGUGAAUUCCAAGUGCCUACAAAAUGAUAGGUAAAAUAACAGACACAAUAUCUUUAAAUAAAUAAAACGAGUAGAGAAAUAAAGAGAAAGGGUUAAGGAUGCUCAUGGCAAAUCUUGUUUGUGAGAGAUUACAAACAAAUCUAGCAACAAAGUGUUGGACGCUUGCUAACAGCUCGUGGAUAACUCCUGGUGCAUUCGAUAACGUAUUAUCUCUAACCAAGCGCGAAAGUAAUUUAUUUCUUUCAUUCGUUUCUCUUUCUUUUUUCAUUGAUCGCAUUGAAUGUUCUCUCGUUGGUUUAACAAAAUCUACCGGAUGUUAGAUAAAAUAAUGAUUGAACAAAUAUUGAAAGCGACUGAGAAACUUUUCAAAUAUUUAUUUUUCAUACGUUAAGGUUCAUCUCUCAAAAUAGAAAUCACUCGUUUGAUCUACAAUUUAUGAACAUUUUUUUUCGAGACGUUACUCGUAUCCUCAUUUUUUGUAUCCUCAUCAAAGAAGCUUCCUUUCUAUCCGUAAGUAUAUACCGUAGACGAUAUAAGUGGUAAUAAAACGGUUGAGAAACGGGAAGGUACAGGAAACAAAAGAAAGGAUAUACGUUGAAUGAGAGAGGAGACGUUUCAAAUACCUACCGGAAGGUAAAAACUUCAGGGUCAAGUACACGUCGAGAGUGUUAUUACAAUACGAUAAAAAAAGUGCGCAGUUUUUCUUACCUUUUACUCUCCUCACUCUGUUUCCUUUAACGUAAUUAUUAUUUCUAUUUUAUUAUAAAUAAUAAAAGAAUCCAUUAAGAUUUAAUUAUGAACAUUUUUACAAUAUGUUCAUGAUAUAAUACGUCAAUUGACUAAGUUUCGAUCGAUUACAUCUAUUUGGCCCACCCAGUAUAUCCGAAGGCAUGCAUUGACUUUGGCAGUCGUCAUUUGAAAACUAACAAUUACAAUAUUUUAUUAUUAUAAUAUUAUAAUAUUAUAAUAUUUAUUGACGAUCUCUCGAGAGUCCGUGAACGAUAGAAGUGAUUUGGUCGUGACCAUCGAUUAAAUAAAAACUUGACCGAUUCGAAAUUCAUAGGGAGAACCUAUAAAAAGCUUGCUACAACUAAUCCGUCGUUCUAAUUAAUUAUAAAGAAUAAAAAUAGCAAAGAUUUAACGAUUUAUAAACAACGUAAGUUUUUAUUUAAAUAAGUCUUUAAUCGAUCACUUUUUAUAGUUCACCCUGUGUAUUAGAAGUCGUUGCAUUGACUUUGACAGUCAUCGCUUAAAAAGUAACGGUUAAAGUUAAUCUCGAGUCUCGAGGGUGGAAAUUUUCAAUUCAACAUUUAUUAGUAAAGAUACGAGAGAGAGAGAGAGAGAGAGAGAGAAAAGAGAUGGGAAAGUCAAUUCUGAUAAACGUUCUUGAUAUCCUUAAAAAUAUUCGUAUUAUCUGACGAGCCUAGCAGGGGUCACCUUUCUUCGAGCGUAACGUUCCAAUCCUUUACGAGAGGUCAAAGUUUAAGAUUUUUUUCCUCCUUUUCUAUCGAGUUAUAUCACGACGCUUAUUAAUGUGCUGUGAUUUACAAUGCAACUUUUAAAUAGAUCAAUCGUUUUAUUUUUCGACCGAUGAAGGCCGACGAACAAAUCGUUUUUGAAUCAUUUCCUGAAAGUUCGAGAUCAUCGAUCGAGAGUUCGUCGAGUUGGAAGACAACGACUAAUUAAAGAAUGGCGUGCUGAAAAGGCAAUAAAUUAUGGGAUUGGCAGCAGAAUUCAAUGGCGCUAAACUUUGUAUAAAAGUUGCUACUGCGAUGUUCGUCUGCGUUUUCGGCACGUGUCCGUAAACUUGAAGGAGAUCGAAGAUUAUGUAUGGACUCCAACAAAGGAUGAAUACUGCAAUAAUUUAGAUCGUCGAUGGAAAUGCAAACGAAGCUUUUGUAAUGGCCACGUGUUUGGAUCGUGAUUCAGAGUUCUAAUAGCCAUUCCGAUUGUAUAAACACUUUAAGAAUGUUUCCGAUGAACGAGCAGAUUGUAUUCGUUCCCCAUUUAAUUCGAUUACUGAAUGUAGUUACUGUUAUUUCGAGUGUUCAGAAAGAUGAUGGGAAUGCUGAAAAGUGCUGAGAGACUCCAAGCAACCACUACCAAUACUCGAGCUCUCCACCCUGCAUAAAAUUCUUCACCUUACAAGUGUUUACGAACUGGUAUUAUCACCGAUAAUAUCUUUCUUACAAAGAAUACCAAGAUAAUAUUUCGACGUCUUAGGAAGGAUCUUCAUUCAACGAUUUUCAACAUUGGAUUUUUUUUCUAAUUAAAUGCUAACGCGUAUCUGUGCACGAUGUUACUGAACAAGAAGAAUUUUAUCGAAUAGGGAAUAGUAAACAAGCAAAUUGCUUUAGUUGAAGUUAACUUUGUUACCAUUCUAAUUGACUCUGAUAACAGUGAGUUUCAUCUACAAUUAUUUUCCAACAAUCAUCACGUUAUCUCUUCGUUAUUUUUCCGCCAUGUUAAUUAAGUGAUAAGGUUAACGAGAGAAAAACGAUUAAAAGCGAUGGAAACCUUUCUCACUCACUAAACAUGCGUUGAUCACGUUCAUCAAAUAUUCCCGGCUGAAUUCCUCUCUCAUGAUUUUUUCUUGUCAGAAAUAUUUAUUUUCUAUGCGGCAUUAUGAUCUCUCCUGGUUUACGGAAGGAUACUAUGAGGAAACGAUUUCGAGAAUAUCGUCGAGCAGUGCGACUCUCAAAGAAGCCAACUUUACCCCCAUGAUUUCCUCAUAUUUUGUCUUCCAAAUAAAAAUAUGAUUGGAAUUCGCGUAUCUCGACAGGAGUUAUCGCAAAAUUAAUGUACACGUAAAAAUGAUGACCGAAACAAGUGGUAACCUGCGAACGCCAGUUGCUUGAUGAAGAAGUCCAUCCGAGAUUUUCGACGUUUUCCGAGCAAAAGACCAGCAAGAACUGCAGUGUUACCAGCAACGAUCACAACGAAUAAUAACCACAAAACUGUGAAUUGUUCGGUCUGAAAAAAAGAAAAAUCAUUUUAUACAAACAUGAUUUUCAUCAAAGUUUUUUUAAGAUCUACAAGGAAUAUUUUCAACGUUUGAUAACUAUAGCCUACGAGUACAUGUGAAUCGCAUUUCGUGGAAAGAACAUUUAAAAUGAAACGUAUACGAGAAUUGAUGAUGAUAGUGGGGGUGAGGAUAAUCUAGCGAUCUUCUCCAGUCUACGUCAUCGUCGAAGGCAUCGUGUGAAGGGCGAAGGUGAAGAAGGGGAUCGAAAGGGAUCGUAAAACAUCCUAUUUACGUCCUCGAACGCAGAUUACACCCCUCGGGAGUACACAGGACUAGCCCGUAGCAACGAUAUUUUCUUCCAAACGUUGAAUUAUCUAGCCAUCGUACGACAAAAUAUCGUCGAAUCAUCGAAUCUCCGCCCGAAUACAGACGACCGGCCUAUUUUCUUGUGAAAUCAUAGAAAUAGAACUGGUCUUUCUCUAUGCUUCUAUAGAGCAAACAGUAUCGUAUAUAGUCGAUUACUAUUGAUGAAUUAUAUUAUGUGGUCAAUAAAGUAUCAGAAUGAUAAAAUCUUUAAAGAGAAUAUUCGAAGGAGUAAAUAGGAUGAUUGACGGAGCGACGAAAGUGUAGAAAGAGGGAGAAUGUCAGAGAGAACGUGACAAAGUAGCGAAGCAAAUUGCAUCGAUUAUUUAUGCUCGUCAACUUAGAUUCCAAAGGAGGAAACGUUGAAAGCGACCAAAGAUGUAAAACGUCGUAUUGCCAUGUUUCAAGAGCUUCUUGAAAUUUCAAGCAACUAGAAACUCGAUCUUAAUACGACAGGAUUCUUGCUAGAGCGAGCAUAGAAACUGAAGAUAGGAAGUUUACAAUGGGAAACAAACGAGAUCGUGAAGUUAAUAAGUAAUAAAUUAAGAUUUCAAUAAAAAUUAAAUUUAAAUUGUGAUACUAUUUCGGCGAACCAGAUUCGACAAUGCAUAUUAGAAUUUGUAUUAUUUGUGCAUUUAUUGUUGAAAAGUACUCUGGAAGGUGUACGCGCUCGGAUUAAUACUUUCCUGUAAAUUACAUUUCCUUUCAUUCGUCCUGGAACGUAGAAUAGAAAAGAAAAGAAAAAGAAGGAAAACACAAGAGGGAAAAUGUCUUUGAAGGAAUAAAAUCACAUUAUCGAUAUUUUUUUCGCCUCAUAAAACGUCAGCUCUCCGUGCAUUUUUUUAUUUUUUUUAAUUUUUCUUUUUACCAAAUAAGAUAUGAUUUACCAUUUACAAUCUCUGGGAACGUGUUUUUUCACAAGAAUGUAAUUCUAAGUUCGUCUAAUGCACCGUAAGAGAACAUUUUGCGUUUACAAGGGUCUGUUGUGUACUUAAUUGUGAAUUAAAUAUCCAUUUCAUUCUUUCUUAAACGCAAUUAUGUUUUUUCUUUUGAGUAGACAAAAAAUAAGAAAGAGAAAGCAAGAUCGAGAAUUUUUAUUUCCAAGUAUAGCCUUGAAACUCGACGAGAGUUGAGAGAUCGAAAGUUAGUUCUCGUUUAAUUACUAACUUUAUAGGAUGAUUAAAGUCUUAUAAUUAUCGUGUCACGUGUCACUGAUUUUCACUGACAAGAAUCUUAUUUGAAAUAUUUCUUUUCUUUUUCUUUUUUUUUUUUUUUUCUAUACAGAAAACGACGACUUUAAUCUCAUACUUUAGAAAAUAAUGUUCGAGAACAUGUUCCUGCACUUUUACCUCUCGAUUUUUCUAUUAAGAGGGAGAGAGAGAGAGAGAGAGAGAGAAAGAGAGAUGGGUGUUUUAAUUAAAAAUUUUAAUGAAGGAACGUGUGCGGAGAUUCGUACGAGUAUGCACAUGACACACUGCGUUUUCGAGAAAAAAGAAUAAAUUUUUAGAUUCGUUUAGGUAAAUAGUUAGAUUCGGUCCAGAGAACUCGGCAUAACUUUUGUUUGUUAAACUGCUAAAAGUUCAAUAAUUUAUAUGUCAACACGUCCAUCUCGUUACGAGUAUUGUAAUGCACCUUAAAAGGAUUUUGCAAAAAAUUCAUUUAACGUUUAUCAAGUAAUUAAUGCGCCCUUAAACUAGAAAACUAUUCUCAAAUGAGUCAGUUUUGUGAGAACAUUUUUUUAAUUGUAUAGAAGGUAUUGUGUUAAUCGAACUUGACGAUUUUCUCUGGGUUUUCUCUGUUUCGAGAUAUGUUUCUUAGCUACACUAAUUACUGUCCUAUACCGUUUAUUCUCGAUUUAACGAGUAAACGACUCUCUUCAAUACUUUUUUCACACUCGUUACGAAAGCGUAAUUAACUUUUCUCUGUGUUAAUUACUUAAAGGUAACAAAAAUGCGAGUCUAUGUUUAAUUUCUCAUUUGCUCUUUCUUUUUUUAUAAAACAGUAGAGAACAGUUUUUGGAUAACAUCUAAUAAUUAUUUUAUAAUUAAAAUUUAUAUAAAAUUAAUAAUUUAUGUUUAUUAUAUAAAAGAUUAAUGUAACGUUUGUUAUAGAAUACAUAUAUUGGAAAUAAGAAAGUAUAAGACAAAUUUGGGUUGUAAUAGUAAUCGAUCGCAAGUAAAUUAAUUCAUUAGAUAAGUAAGUUCGUCUAUCUUCCAAAGUUCCUGACUAGUUUUGCAAGAUAAAUUUAUCUUCUUUUCUACCGCAUGUUUAACUAGAAGACGCUUUGGCGUCGAUCUUUGUUUAACUUGAAAGGAAAUUUCUCUUAGCUAUGAUGAAAUUGCCAAUAUUCAAACUAACAAUAGAAAGAAGCAUUGAAUGGUUGGAAUCUUAUUCCAGUGCUAAUAUAAGGGACGAAUAGGAAUAAUGAAAUUAGUAUUUGUUGUGUGUCUAGAAUGCUAAGUGAGAUAGAAUAAAAUAUU